UUAAAGAUAAUGAUAAGGAAGAGUAUAUAAAGAAAACUUUAAAGAGAGCUGAAAAAUGGUGGAAUUUCAGUAAGUAAACUUUAUAGAAGCAGCCUUUGAAUCUCUUAUUGAAAAAUAAGAAUUUAAAUUCUUAAUUAGAUAAUGACGUUUUCCUUACGUUAUAGAGGAUAGAAUAUAAUUUAUUUUAUAUUCUAGAUGAGUGAGCAAGUAUAACUUGCUUAUUAGGGUGGUACCGCGAAGUAGUUCCUUCGUCCCUUUU
rnacentral:ncRNA from 1 species